rnacentral:lncRNA from 1 species
AGGCCUUGUGUGAGAUUUAUAUCCGGGCUAAGUCCCAAAGGCAUUCGUACUGAUUUUAUAUCCGGGUUCAGUCCCGAAGGCAUUCGUGCUGAUAUUAUAUCUGGGUUAAGUCCCAAAGGCAUUCGUGUUGGUAUUAUAUCCGGGCUAAGUCCCGAAGGCAUUCGUGCUGAUAGUAUAUCCGGGCUAAGUCCCGAAGGCA